UGUGGAGAUGUACAGACAACUAGGAGGUUGGCUCAGAAGCAGCCAUCCUUUAAAGAGUGCGUAACAGCUCACUAGUCGAAUGACUCUGCGCCGAUAAUUUACCGGGGCUAAGCAUACUACCGAAGCUAUGGAUCCUGAGGGAUGGUAGGGGAGCGUUCCAUGAACGGAGAAGCGCGAUCGAGAGGACGCGUGGAGAUCAUGGAAGAGAGAAUGCCGGUGUGAGUAGCGGAACGUGGGUGAGAAUCCCACGCACCGAAGACCCAAGGUUUCCAGAGGAAGGUUCGUCCGCUCUGGGUAAGUCGGGACCUAAGGCGAGGCCGAGAGGCGUAGUCGAUGGACAACAGGUAGAGAUUCCUGUACUCAUAUAUAUGUGAAGGAAUGACGGAGAGAGGAAGCUGCAGCCAGCGGCUGGAAGAGCUGGUGCAAGCGAGAUAUCGGGAUGGCAGGCAAAUCCACCAUCUGAAAACGAGAAGGCGUGAAGCGUACGGAAAGCUAAGGCGAGUACGGAAGGCAGUGGACGAGCUUCCAAGAAAAGUUUCUAACGAAAGUAUAUGUGACCCGUACCGAAAAUGGACACACAUGGGUGAGGAGAGAAUCCUAAGGUGAGCGAGAGAACUAUAGCUAAGGAACUCUGCAAAAUGACUCCGUAACUUAGGGAGAAGGAGUGCUCAUAGAGAUAUGAGCCGCAGUGAAACGGCCCAAGCGACUGUUUACCAAAAACACAGCUCUCUGCUAAGCCGCAAGGCGAAGUAUAGGGGGUGACGCCUGCCCGGUGCUGGAAGGUUAAGGGGAGGGGUUAACGCAAGUGAAGCCCUGAACUGAAGCCCCAGUAAACGGCGGCCGUAACUAUAACGGUCCUAAGGUAGCGAAAUUCCUUGUCAGGUAAGUUCUGACCCGCACGAAAGGCGUAACGAUUUGGGCGCUGUCUCAGCUGUAGACUCGGUGAAGUCUUAGUACCUGUGAAGAUGCAGGUUACCCGCGACUAGACGGAAAGACCCCAUGGAGCUUCACUGCAGGUUGAUAUUGGGAUUUGAUGCAGCAUGUACAGGAUAGGUAGGAGGCAAAGAGAUGGAUACGCCAGUAUUCAAGGAGCCGCUGUUGGGAUACUACCCCUGUUGUAUUGGAUUUCUAACCGGACGACGUAAACCGUUGACGGGACAGUGUCAGUCGGGCAGUUUGACUGGGGCGGUCGCCUCCUAAAGAGUAACGGAGGCGCCCAAAGAUACCCUCAGCUUGGAUGGAAACCAAGCGCAGAGUGCAAAGGCAAAAGGGUGUUUGACUGCGAGACCCACAAGUCGAGCAGGGACGAAAGUCGGGCUUAGUGAUCCGGCGGUGCUGAAUGGAAAGGCCGUCGCUCAACGGAUAAAAGCUACCCUGGGGAUAACAGGCUGAUCUCCCCCAA
rnacentral:rRNA from 1 species